rnacentral:tmRNA from 1 species
UUAUUGCAGUAUACCAAUAAAGUGAACUAUAUUAAAAGUGUUGUUUUACAACUAUAGCGAUAAACGUUUUGUGAAAUAGGCAUUGCGGACCCGGGGGCGGUACCCGGCGCCUCCACCAAACUUUAUGGGGGCGAAAUAGGAUCGACGUGUGUAAUAAAGACUUAACUUUCUCUCGGCAUUGUACCACCGUUAUCGGGCUAAAUUAAUAGUUGCAAAUGACAACUAUGCUCCGGUCGCAGUUGCUGCCUAAGCAGUUACUUGACCAUUUU